UAAUACGGGGGGUGCAAGCGUUGUCCGGAAUUACUGGGCGUAAAGGGCGUGUAGGCGGCCUAUUAAGUCAGAUGUGAAAGCCCACGGCUUAACCGUGGAACUGCAUUUGAAACUGGUAGGCUUGAGUAUGAGAAGGGGUAGUGGAAUUCCCAGUGUAGCGGUGAAAUGCGUAGAUAUUGGGAAGAACACCAGUAGCGAAGGCGGCUACCUGGCUCAUUACUGACGCUAAUGCGCGAAAGCGCGGGGAGCAAACAGGAUUAGAUACCCUGGUAGUCCGCGCCGUAAACGAUGGAUACUAGAUGUUGGUUACUUUAUAGUGAUCAGUGUCGCAGCUAACGCAUUAAGUAUCCCGCCUGGGGAGUACGAUCGCAAGGUUG
rnacentral:rRNA from 1 species